rnacentral:rRNA from 1 species
CCUACGGGUGGCAGCAGUGAGGAAUAUUGGUCAAUGGCCGGAAGGCUGAACCAGCCAUGCCGCGUGAAGGGCAGGGGCCUAGGGGCGUUAAACUUCUUUUGUGCGGGAGCAAGAAUGGGCACGUGGGGCCAGACGAGAGUACCGUACGAAUAAGCAGCGGCUAACUCCGUGCCAGCAGCCGCGGUAAGACGGGGGAUGCAAGCGUUAUCGGGAUUUCUUGGGUUUAAAGGGUGCGUCGGCUGGGAGGUAAGUCAGCGGUGAAAUGCCCCCGCUCAACGGGGUGAAGUGCCAUUGAUACUGCCUUGCUGGACUGCGGAUGCCGUGGGAGGAAUGUGUGGUGUAGCGG